rnacentral:rRNA from 1 species
GACGAACGCUGGCGGUGUGCUUCACACAUGCAAGUCGAACGAGGUAGCAAUACCUAGUGGCGGACGGGUGAGUAACGCGUGGGAAUCUGCCUUUAGAUGGGGGAUAACGGGUCGAAAGACUCGCUAAUACCGCAUAUGACGAAGUUGAAAGGAGUAAUCCGUCUAAAGAUGAGCCGCGUCCGAUUAGCUAGUUGGUAGAGUAAAAGCCUACCAAGGCGACGAUCGGUAGCUGGUCUGAGAGGAGUGAUCAGCCACAAUGGGACUAGAGACACGGCCCAUACUCCUACGGGAGGCAGCAGUGGGAAUUUUACGCAAUGGGCGAAAGCCUGACGUAGCGACACCGCGUGAGCGAAGAAGCCCCUUGGGGUGUAAAGCUCUGUCAGCUGGAACGAAAAAAAUGACGGUACCAGCAGAGGAAGCAUCGGCUAACUACGUGCCAGCAGCCG